AUGCUUAACACAUGCAAGUCGAACGCUUGUUGGGGUUUCGGCUCCAACGGGAGUGGCGCACGGGUGAGUAGCGCGUGGGAACCUGCCCUCUUGUGGGGGAUAACCGAUGGAAACGUCGGCUAAUACCGCAUAAGCCCGGGGGAAACUCCGGGGAAAGAUUUAUCGCGAGAGGAGGGGCCCGCGUCGGAUUAGGUAGUUGGUGGGGUAACGGCCUACCAAGCCUGUGAUCCGUAGCUGGUCUGAGAGGAUGAUCAGCCACACUGGGACUGAGACACGGCCCAG
rnacentral:rRNA from 1 species